rnacentral:rRNA from 1 species
UGGGGAAUAUUGGGCAAUGGGCGAAAGCCUGACCCAGCAACGCCGCGUGAAGGAAGAAGGUCUUCGGAUUGUAAACUUCUUUUAUGAGGGACGAAGGACGUGACGGUACCUCAUGAAUAAGCCACGGCUAACUACGUGCCAGCAGCCGCGGUAAUACGUAGGUGGCAAGCGUUAUCCGGAUUUACUGGGUGUAAAGGGCGCGUAGGCGGGGAUGCAAGUCAGAUGUGAAAUCUAUGGGCUUAACCCAUAAACUGCAUUUGAAACUGUGUCUCUUGAGUGCUGGAGAGGUAGACGGAAUUCCUUGUGUAGCGGUGAAAUGCGUAGAUAUAAGGAAGAACACCAGUGGCGAAGGCGGUCUACUGGACAGUAACUGACGCUGAGGCGCGAAAGCGUGGGGAGCAAACAGGAUUAGAUACC